rnacentral:rRNA from 1 species
AUAUAAGAGUCUACGGCCGUGAACAAGCCUGAUCCCAUCUGAUCUCGGAAGCUAAGCAGGGUUGGACCUGGUCAGUACUUGGAUGGGAGACCACCUAGGAAGACCAGGUGCCAUAGGCA